UGUACACCAUGGAUUGACAACAGUUUGACCACCGGUAACCGUUGUUCCCGCUUCCAGCGCAGAGUCCUUGAAGCCCCUCAUUAUCAAAGGCUCAAACCGCCGUGCCUCAACGGAGUCACGGAGGAAUCCAUGCCGAUGCCUGAAAAAUAGAAAAUAGACAAGGAUUAGAUGCAUCGUCAAUCGUCACUCUCCUGGAAGAUGAUGAAUGAAGGCACUUUGCAGUUCUUUCCAAUGGCGAUACUCUGAUCUUUGCAUUUCGAAUGAAAAAACAAAGUCAACCGGAAACGGAGCGAAAUAGGCGGGAACUGACAACGUGGCGAACAAACGCAGAGUGCCGGCCGGCCGGUAGAUAGCGGCCAUUUGCUAAAAUUCUACGCAUUGGCGGGGUGAUUAAUCUAUUUGGAUAAUGAGUGAUCGGGAGCCUCAAUCAAAGAAACUUACCGAUGCGCGGUAUGGCCAUAUGCAUAAAGUGGGCAUGCUCAUGAUCUUGGACGUUGUUAUCGUCCGCCUGUAGCCCCUCAA
rnacentral:lncRNA from 1 species